rnacentral:rRNA from 1 species
GAUCCUGGCUCAGGAUGAACGCUAGCUACAGGCUUAACACAUGCAAGUCGAGGGGCAGCAUGAACUUAGCUUGCUAAGUUUGAUGGCGACCGGCGCACGGGUGAGUAACACGUAUCCAACCUUCCGUUUACUCAGGGAUAGCCUUUCGAAAGAAAGAUUAAUACCUGAUAGUAUGGUGAGAUUGCAUGAUAACACCAUUAAAGAUUUAUUGGUAAACGAUGGGGAUGCGUUCCGUUAGGUAGUAGGCGGGG